rnacentral:rRNA from 1 species
GUCCACGCCGUAAACGAUGAGUACUGGGUGUCGCGGGUAGUUGACCCCUGCGGUGCCGUAGCUAACGCGUUAAGUACUCCGCCUGGGGAUUACGGUCGCAAGAUUAAAACUCAAAGGAAUUGACGGGGGCCCGCACAAGCGGUGGAGCAUGUGGUUUAAUUCGACGCAACGCGAAGAACCUUACCUAGGCUAGACAACGGUGGACAUCCCCAGAGAUGGGGCUUUCCCUUCGGGGACUGCCGGUUCAGGUGCUGCAUGGCUGUCGU